rnacentral:rRNA from 1 species
UACGUAGGGUGCGAGCGUUGUCCGGGGUUACUGGGCGUAAAGAGCUCGUAGGUGGUUUGUCGCGUUGUUCGUGAAAACCGGGGGCUUAACCCUCGGCGUGCGGGCGAUACGGGCAGACUUGAGUACUGCAGGGGAGACUGGAAUUCCUGGUGUAGCGGUGGAAUGCGCAGAUAUCAGGAGGAACACCGGUGGCGAAGGCGGGUCUCUGGGCAGUAACUGACGCUGAGGAGCGAAAGCGUGGGGAGCGAACAGG